CGUAACACGUAUAUAAUCUGCCCUUAUCUGGGAAAUAGCCCGGAGAAAUUCGGAUUAAUGUCCCAUAACAUUAUGAUGUGGCAUCACAUUAUAAUUAAAGCUCAGGCGGAUAAGGAUGAAUAUGCGACUGAUUAGUUUGUUGGUGAGGUAACGGCUCACCAAGACUACGAUCAGUAGGGGUACUGAGAGGUUAAACCCCCACACUGGUACUGAGACACGGACCAG
rnacentral:rRNA from 1 species